UGGCUGGUCGGAUGAAGCAGAAGACAGAUAAAGAGUGCAAACAGGUGGUGAGUAACCCGGUUGAUUGUAGCAAGGACAAAUGUACUGGAGGGUCUCCACCUUCUAAGCCUAAAUCACCACCACUACCACCGGUCCACUCCCCACCCCCACCAGUGCACUCACCACCCCCACCAGUCUUCUCACCACCACCACCACCAGUCCACUCUCCACCCCCACCCGUUCACUCCCCACCCCCACCAGUGCACUCCCCACCCCCACCAGUCUUCUCACCACCACCACCACCAGUCCACUCCCCACCCCCACCCGUCCACUCCCCACCACCACCAGUCCACUCGCCACCCCCACCCAUCCACUCACCACCACCACCCGUCUACUCACCACCACCACCACCAGUCCACUCCCCACCACCACCACCCGUCUACUCACCACCACCACCCGUCUACUCACCACCACCACCAGUCUACUCCCCACCCCCACCAGUACAAUCUCCACCUCCACGAACUCCAUCUCCUCGUCCUGUUGUGUCUACACCACCACCUACAAAAAAUAUUGUCCUCCCACCAAACAUAGGAUUCGAAUACCAAUCGCCACCUCCACCAAUGUUUCCAGGCUACUAAAUAGUACUACAGCCUUAACAUCUUUGUGUUGUAUAUUCUCACUCUCGGGUAUAAAAGGAAAAAGAAAAGGGCCAUAAAUUACAAUUCAUGUCAUUACCUUUUCUUUUUCACUGUUCUCUUGCAUUUGCAAUUUCUAUUCAAAUUGUAACAUCAAUGUGAAAGCUCUUAUAUUUAUAUAUAAAUCUUAAUUACUACUAACUUUCAUCUUUUCCCUCAUAAUCUUUUCUUAAUAUUGGAAAAACAAAUAUCAGCAUGUUGACUUGGUUUCGGGUUGCAUUAAUUUCAAUCCAAUCAAUUUCAUUUUUGGAUCAUUUUUGUUUUUUUAAGUUGGGUUAUUUUAGGUUUUUCCUUCAAGACUAACACUUAAUUUUGAGUUACUUAUACAUGUUUUUUUAGUUCGAAUCUUUUUAAUUAUUAUUUAUAUGAAGGUAGGUUUGAUUAGUUACUUUUUGCUCCUUAUUCCAAUUUGAUGUCUGGUUAGUUUAGUUACAAUAAAUGAGUUCUUUUUUAGGAAAAUACAAAUUAAAAAAUCUCUAUUCAUGACCUAAUUAAAUAGAAAGGAUAAUAAAUAAAUAAAAUGAUACAAUAAAUACUAAAGAUUUCUUUUGAACCUUUAAAUUGCUAUUUCAAUAAAAAUUAAAUGCUUCCUAACAAAUUUGACAUUUUACAUUGAAUUAACCGCUUCACCUUCAAUCUCGACGACUGACUAAAAAAUGAGUUAUUAUGAUUUUGAGUAAGCCGCUAUGGUGAAAUCGGUAAACACGUUGCUCUUAAGAAGUAGUGCUAGAGCAUCUCGGUUUGAAUCCGAGUGACGACAUAGUAUCUUCUAAAAGAGAUAGAAUAAGUCCCAAUUCAAGUUUUUAAAGAGAGCAAAGUUAAGAGAGAAAUGACACACAAGACUUAUUAACAUAAUUCUAACAAUUUUAUUUUGUAAACCCUUACUAGGGGUGUAUAAAAUUCGGUGGAAAAAGCAACCCAAAUCAACUCAAUUCGAUUCUUUUGUUCGAUUUAAUUGAAUUCGAAUAUUUACCUCAAACUCCUAAACUUUUUUACUUUCCCUAAAAAUUAUUACUUUUCCUCAAAAAUUUUACUCCUCCCUGUCCCACCCCCUUCUACGCCAAACUCAUUCUUCUCCUCCCAAAAUUUACUCUCCUAAACCCCAAAAUUUGCACUUUUCACCAUUUAUCCUCAAAUAAAAAAUUAAAAUCAUCCAAAAAAAUUCUCAAACCUAAAUAGUAAUAAUUUUAUUUAUAUCUACUAUUUAUGUUAUCAAAUUAAAUUUGACAUAUUUUCCAUGAAAUUGUCUAAUAUUGAUGAUCUCCAUGAGUUGCAAUUACAUGUUUCACUUGAGCAUUGACUUAUAAUGUCAACAAAAACAAAUCCAAAUCCAAAUAUGACACUUAAGGCAUUCAAAUUAUAUAUAAUUAUGUAACAUUAUAAUGAAAAAAGUUAAUAAUAUUAACUAUUUAAUCUAACUAAUGACAUUUUACAAUUAUAAACAUCUAAUUAUAUUAGAAAUUAAAUCUCAAAUAAAUCAUAUACCCAAAUUUCCUUCCUUCUAUAUAAUAAAGGUAUUCAUCUUAACUAGUGCAAUCAAUGUUGGUGUAAUUAAUCUUCCAAAAAUAGUAUAAUUAAUCACAUAUUACUAAAAUUUAACAAUUAUGAUGAAGAUGAAAUGAAUGAAACAUUUACUAUGACAGAUUUUGGGUUGAACACGUGGCUGAGGGAAUCCAAAACAUCGCUAUAAAUGGUAAGUUUCCCAUUUAAUAAAAUUGUUUUCCAGUUUUUUAUAUUCAAAAGGUCAAAUUCGGAUUUUGUCCCUCUACUAUACUAGAAUUAAAAAUUAAGUCUGUUUUAUUUUAAUUUAGCAUAAUUUAACCCUCUUACUUCAGUAUUAAUUAAUCUAAAAUGUUAACACCGUUAACUAUUUUAAUUAAAAUACUUAUAUAGUUUUUUUUUAAAUCAGUCUUAAGCAUUUAGUUAAUACGUAAUUUUUUACUAAAUCUUUUUGAUUAAUUUUUUUUAGAAAAAGCACAAUUAAAAAAGAAUAAUUAACCAUGCUAAAAAAUUGAUAUAAAAAUAGAAUGACCAAAUUAUAUUGAAUUGGAGUAUAAAAACUAAAUCAUGAAUUUUAGAUAUAAUAGAAGGACCAAAAUAUAAUUUGACCUAUUAUAAAAUAAAGAUAGAAAAUACAAGUUAAAAUUGUUAAAAUAGUAUCUAUACAUAAGCCUCACAUUUCGCUUCGCCUCUGAAGUUACCAAACCUCUAAUUAUAUGUGAAACCAGAAAGCUUCUCAAGAACUAAAGCAAGAACCCAACAUCCCAUUCGUCCCCUAUAUAAUCUCAUUUCCAUCUCCAUCAACAUUGCCUAACCAGCCUCAGGCCUUCCAAGGUGAACAAGAAAAAUGGCAAGUCGUUUAAGUUUUCAGGCCUUCGGCUGCUUUCAUUUGUUCUUUUGGAUUUUCUUUCGUUCAUUCACACCCACUUUCACAGUCGAAGCGUCUUCAAUCGCUGAUCGUCAGCUGUUGUCACUCCCAAAAAAUGGUAAACUCCCCGACGGGUAUGAAUAUACGGUGAAAACAAAAGAGACAUUUGAGAAUGAAAGGCUUAGGAGGGCUUUUAUCGCUCUUCAAGCAUGGAAGAAGGCUAUGUACUCUGACCCGAUGAACAUCACGAGCAACUGGUUCGGGCCUAACGUGUGUGGUUACAAAGGUGUGUAUUGUGCUCAGGCAAUCGAUGAUCCCAAAUUGAAAGUUGUGGCUGGUAUUGAUCUUAAUCAUGCUGACAUCGCCGGUUACCUUCCAGUGGAAUUAGGGUUGAUGAUCGAUGUUGCAUUGAUCCAUUUAAACUCCAACAGGUUUUGUGGGAUCGUCCCUGAGAGCUUAUCUGAGCUUACACUUAUGCAUGAAUUUGAUGUUAGCAACAAUUGGUUCGUGGGGGAUUUCCCCAAAGUUGUACUGUCAUGGCGGAGCGUCAAGUAUAUUGAUCUCCGAUUCAAUAAUUUUGAAGGUUGUUUACCACCUGAGCUCUUCGAAAAGGAUCUAGAUGCAUUGUUUUUGAACGAUAAUCGCUUCACUUGCAACAUUCCUGAAACAAUCGGCAAAUCGACUGUCUCCGUUGUGACAUUCGCUAACAACAAGUUCGAAGGAUGUAUACCACGUAGCAUUGGCAAGAUGUCGAACUUGGACGAGAUCAUUUUCUCAAACAAUAACCUCGGUGGUUGUUUCCCUCAAGAAAUUGGUUUGCUUCGCAAUGUUACUAUUCUUGAUGUUAGCAAGAACUCGUUCGUAGGUAGCUUGCCGACAAACUUUUCGGGCUUCGAGAAGGUUGAUGUUUUGGAUAUUUCCGGGAACAAGUUGACGGGGAGUGUUCCAGAGGAUAUUUGCAAGUUACCGAGCUUGUCUAGUUUCAAGUUUUCUUACAACUACUUCAGUGAGGAGCAUAUGGCUUGUAUAAAGCCUGAAAGGAAGAACAUUGUGGUGGAAGAUGCUGGUAAUUGUGUGGCUGGUCGGAUAAAGCAGAAGACAGAUAAAGAGUGCAAACAAGUGGUGAGUAACCCGGUUGAUUGUAGCAAGGACAAAUGUACUAGAGGGUCUCCACCUAAGCAAAACACACCUACGCCACAUCGUGUAUCUCCAACUGUUCCUACCAAGCCACCACCAGUACCUGAUAAAAUUGAACUAUCUCCAAAGGUUCCUAUUCGCCCACCAAAACCACCUCCAGCACCGGUUCAAUCUCUACCUCCACCAGUCCCUUCCUUACCACCACCCAUCCAAUCUCCACCACCACCAAUGCACUCACCACCACCACCCGUCCAUUCACCACCACCACCAUCGGUUCCUUCACCCCCACCACCAGUAAAAUCCCCACCCCCACCGGUACCUUCACCACCACCACCAGUUCCUUCACCCCCACCGCCAGUAAAAUCUCCACCUCCACCGGUGCCCUCACCACCACCACCACCAGUUCCUUCACCCCCACCCCCAGUAAAAUCCCCACCUCCACCGGUGCCCUCACCACCACCACCAGUUCCUUCACCCCCACCCCCAAUAAAAUCCCCACCUCCACCGGUGCCCUCACCACCACCACCAGUUCUUUCACCCCCACCACCAGUAAAAUCCCUACCUCCACCGGUGCCCUCACCACCCCCACCUGUGCCAUCUCCACCCCCACCCGUCCACUCCCCACCCCCACCUGUGCCCUCUCCACCCCCACCCGUCCAUUCCCCACCCCCACCCGUCCGUUCCCCACCCCCACCUAUCCUCUCUCCACCCCCACCGGUGCGCUCACCACCCCCACCCGUCCUUUCUCCACCCCCACCAGUGCGCUCACCACCCCCACCCAUCCACUCCCCACCCCCACCAGUACAUUCACCACCACCACCCGUCUACUCACCACCUCCACCCGUCUACUCUCCACCACCACCAGUAAAAUCUUUACCUCCACCAACUCUAUCUCCUCCUCCUGUUUUAUCUAAACCACCACCUACAAAAGAUAUUGUCCUCCCACCAAACUUAGGAUUCCAAUACCAAUCGCCACCUCCACCAAUGUUUCCAGGCUAUUAAAUAGUAUUAUAGCUUUGACAUCUUUAUUUUGUAUGUUCUCCAUCUUGGGUAUAAAAAAUUAACAAAGAAAAGUUCAUAAAUAACAAUUGAGGGAGUUACCUUUUCUUUUUUUAAGUUUCCUCUUGUAACAUGAUUGCCAAAGCUCUUAUCUUUAUCUAUGAAUCUCAAUUAUUAGUAGCUUUCAUCUAUUCCCUUCUCCUCUUUUGUUAACAUUAGGAAAAUAAAUAUUCGAAUAAUG
rnacentral:lncRNA from 1 species